GGAAGGAUCAUUAUUGAAUAAACUUGAACAGGCUGUUGCUGGUCCCCUCUUUUGGGGGGGGAUAUGGUGCACGCUUGUCAUCUUUGUUUCUCCAACUGUGCACAUAUUGUAGACCUGGGAAGURUUGRUUGUUCGAGUAAACUUCGCAUAGAUUGAGGACUGCUGUGCUUUCAAACAAGCCAGCUUUGCCUUGCAUUUCCAGGUCUAUGUUAUUUUUCACAACCUCUGAAAGUGUUUAGAAUGUUGAAUUGGGUCUUUUGUACCUAUAAAGUUAUAUAUAUACAACUUUCAGCAACGGAUCUCUUGGCUCUCGCAUCGAUGAAGAACGCAGCGAAAUGCGAUAAGUAAUGUGAAUUGCAGAAUUCAGUGAAUCAUCGAAUCUUUGAACGCAUCUUGCGCUCCUUGGUAUUCCGAGGAGCAUGCCUGUUUGAGUGUCAUCAAGUUCUCAACCACACCAGUUCCAUAUUGUGUGUGGCUUGGACAUUGGGGGGUUUUGUUUGCUGGCUUUUGUGAAACAAAGUCAGCUCCCCUGAAAUGUAUUARUAGUAUCUGAGCAGAAUCUACUACAGGUGUGAUAAUUAUCAAUGCCUUGGUGUACCGCAUGAACAGAUUGCACUGCUUCUAACAAGUGAAACCCGUCCUGGGCACAUUUGACAAAUUUGACCUCAAAUCAGGUAGGACUACCCGCUGAACUUAAGCAUAUCAAUAAGCGGAGGAAAAGAAACUAACAAGGAUUCCCCUAGUAACUGCGA
rnacentral:rRNA from 1 species